AAGUCGUAACAAGGUUUCCGUAGGUGAACCUGCGGAAGGAUCAUUAGUGAAUUGAAUAUGUUAGCGGACCUCUUCGGAGUCCCUAGCAUCAAAUCAUAUCCAUAACACCUGUGAACUGUAAGGCUGUCUUGAAAACGAAAGUGAUUAGAGCGCCUGCCCAUUUUAUACAAACAUUAAAGUAACAAACGUAGUCUUAUUAUAAUCUAAUAAAACUUUCAACAACGGAUCUCUUGGCUCUCGCAUCGAUGAAGAACGCAGCGAAAUGCGAUAAGUAAUGUGAAUUGCAGAAUUCAGUGAAUCAUCGAAUCUUUGAACGCACCUUGCGCUCUUUGGUAUUCCGAAGAGCAUGCCUGUUUGAGUGUCAUGAAAAUAUCAACCUUGACUUGGGUUUAGUGCUCUUGUCUUGGCUUGGAUUUGGCUGUUUGCCGCUCGAAAGAGUCGGCUCAGCUUAAAAGUAUUAGCUGGAUCUGUCUUUGAGACUUGGUUUGACUUGGCGUAAUAAGUUAUUUCGCUGAGGACAAUCUUCGGAUUGGCCGAGUUUCUGGGACGUUUGUCCGCUUUCUAAUACAAGUUCUAGCUUGCUAGACAUGACUUUUUUAUUAUCUGGCCUCAAAUCAGGUAGGACUACCCGCUGAACUUAAGCAUAUCAAUAAGCGGAGGAAAAGAAACUAACAAGGAUUCCCCUAGUAACGGCGAGUGAAGCGGGAUGAGCUCAAAUUUAAAAUCUGGCUGGUUUACUAGUCCGAAUUGUAGUUUAUAGAAGCGUUUUCGGUGGCAGCCUGGGUAUAAAUCCUUUGGAAUAGGGUAUCAUAGAGGGUGAGAAUCCCGUCUUUGACUCAGUGCAUGCUACUAUGUGAUACGUUUUCAAA
rnacentral:sRNA from 1 species